UACGAAGGGGGCUAGCGUUGUUCGGAGUUACUGGGCGUAAAGGGUGUGUAGGCGGUCUACUAAGUCUGGUGUGAAAUCUCCCGGCUCAACUGGGAGGGUGCGCCGGAAACUGGAAGGCUAGAGUGCGGGAUGGGAGAGUGGAAUUCCUGGUGUAGCGGUGAAAUGCGUAGAUAUCAGGAGGAACACCUGUGGUGUAGACGGCUCUCUGGACCGCAACUGACGCUGAGACACGAAAGCGUGGGUAGCAAACAGG
rnacentral:rRNA from 1 species